rnacentral:rRNA from 1 species
GACGAACGCUGGCGGCGUGCUUAACACAUGCAAGUCGAGCGGUAAGGCCCUUUCGGGGGUACACGAGCGGCGAACGGGUGAGUAACACGUGGGUGACCUGCCCUCGGCUCUGGGAUAAGCCUGGGAAACCGGGUCUAAUACCGGAUAUGACUCCAUGACGCAUGUUGUGGGGUGGAAAGCCUUGUGCGGCUGAGGAUGGGCCCGCGGCCUAUCAGCUUGUUGGUGGGGUGAUGGCCUACCAAGGCGACGACGGGUAGCCGGCCUGAGAGGGCGACCGGCCACACUGGGACUGAGACACGGCCCAGACUCCUACGGGAGGGCAGCAGUGGGGAAUCUUGCGCAAUGGGCGAAAGCCUGACGCAGCGACGCCGCGUGAGGGAUGACGGCC